GACGAACGCUGGCGGCGUGCUUAACACAUGCAAGUCGAACGGAAAGGCCCUGCUUUUGUGGGGUGCUCGAGUGGCGAACGGGUGAGUAACACGUGAGUAACCUGCCCUUGACUUUGGGAUAACUUCAGGAAACUGGGGCUAAUACCGGAUAGGAGCUCCUGCUGCAUGGUGGGGGUUGGAAAGUUUCGGCGGUUGGGGAUGGACUCGCGGCUUAUCAGCUUGUUGGUGGGGUAGUGGCUUACCAAGGCUUUGACGGGUAGCCGGCCUGAGAGGGUGACCGGCCACAUUGGGACUGAGAUACGGACCAGACUCCUACGGGAGGCAGCGGUGGGGAAUAUUGCACAAUGGGCGGAAGCCUGAUGCAGCAACGCCGCGUGCGGGAUGACGGCCUUCGGGUUGUAAACCGCUUUCGCCUGUGACGAAGCGUGAGUGACGGUAAUGGGUAAAGAAGCACCGGCUAACUACGUG
rnacentral:rRNA from 1 species